CGAACGGGUGAGUAACGCGUGAGGAACCUGCCUCAAAGAGGGGGACAACAGUUGGAAACGACUGCUAAUACCGCAUAAGCCCACGGCUCGGCAUCGAGCAGAGGGAAAAGGAGCAAUCCGCUUUGAGAUGGCCUCGCGUCCGAUUAGCUAGUUGGUGAGGUAACGGCCCACCAAGGCGACGAUCGGUAGCCGGGCUGGGAGGUUGAACGGCCACAUUGGGACUGAGACACGGCCCAG
rnacentral:rRNA from 1 species